CAGUCGAACGGUAAGGCCCUUCGGGGUACACGAGUGGCGAACGGGUGAGUAACACGUGGGUAAUCUGCCCUGCACUUCGGGAUAAGCCUGGGAAACUGGGUCUAAUACCGGAUAUGAGCUCCUGCCGCAUGGUGGGGGUUGGAAAGUUUUUCGGUGCAGGAUGAGUCCGCGGCCUAUCAGCUUGUUGGUGGGGUAAUGGCCUACCAAGGCGACGACGGGUAGCCGGCCUGAGAGGGUGAUCGGCCACACUGGGACUGAGACACGGCCCAGACUCCUACGGGAGGCAGCAGUGGGGAAUAUUGCACAAUGGGCGAAAGCCUGAUGCAGCGACGCCGCGUGGGGGAUGACGGUCUUCGGAUUGUAAACUCCUUUCAGUAGGGACGAAGCGAGAGUGACGGUACCUGCAGAAGAAGCACCGGCCAACUACGUGCCAGCAGCCGCGGUAAUACGUAGGGUGCAAGCGUUGUCCGGAAUUACUGGGCGUAAAGAGCUCGUAGGCGGUUUGUCACGUCGUCUGUGAAAUCCUCCAGCUCAACUGGGGGCGUGCAGGCGAUACGGGCAGACUUGAGUACUACAGGGGAGACUGGAAUUCCUGGUGUAGCGGUGAAAUGCGCAGAUAUCAGGAGGAACACCGGUGGCGAAGGCGGGUCUCUGGGUAGUAACUGACGCUGAGGAGCGAAAGCAUGGGGAGCAAACAGGAUUAGAUACCCUGGUAGUCCAUGCCGUAAACGGUGGGCGCUAGGUGUGGGGUCCUUCCACGGAUUCCGUGCCGUAGCU
rnacentral:rRNA from 1 species